rnacentral:lncRNA from 1 species
GUCACAUGAGAACUCAUGGUUGGGAUAAUGCAAAGUAGUCAUUUUGAUGUGAAAAUUAUGUUGACACACAAAUUAACCCUCUUUUUAUCGAUUGUAGUAAGUAUGUAAGUAGGGAUCGUUCUAUGCCGGGGAUUAGGAGGGAUUGCUAAAUCACUUGAAAACUGACUCAAAUACGUAAAAACAAGUUUAAAACACUAAACUAGACUCAAAGAAUGCAAAACUAAACUUUAAAACACCAAAACAAACAAAAAGACUCAAAACAGCAAACAAACACUCAAAACUGCCUUAAAACACUUUCUGGGCAGUUUCUGACACUCAGGAAGAAUUUGGACGAAAAUUGAUUAUAACUUGACUCAAGACACUUAAAAACACAAACUAAAUUGAUUUCUAACUAGUAUGACUCAACAAAGAAAAGGGGGAUUGAUUUUGGACGAAUUUAAAAACAAAACAAAACUUUGUAAACUAAAACAGAUUUUAAAACGAAUUUGGAUGAUUUGAAUGGAUGGAAGGCUAGCUAAGGGGUUUAUCUCCACACAUGUCACACUUGCAUAUAAAACGAUUUCCAAUUGCUUUUCAAUAAACCAUGAAUUCUCAACGCCCCAAGUUUAAUUAGGUCCGCUUAAAUUAACCCUCAGAUUUUCCUUAAGUUAUUGAAUUGGAUGAAUUGCAUACGACAACCCAAAGCAUUCCCCACAAGUCCCCUACAUGAUUGCAUAAUAGAGAUACAAGCAAGAAUAAUUAAGUUCUAUGAAAACCAUAAGCAUUGACGAAGCACUUGUUACUA